GUAACAGGAAGCAGCUUGCUGCUUUGCUGACGAGUGGCGGACGGGUGAGUAAUGUCUGGGAAACUGCCUGAUGGAGGGGGAUAACUACUGGAAACGGUGGCUAAUACCGCAUAACGUCGCAAGACCAAAGAGGGGGACCUUCGGGCCUCUUGCCAUCAGAUGUGCCCAGAUGGGAUUAGCUUGUUGGUGAGGUAACGGCUCACCAAGGCGACGAUCCCUAGCUGGUCUGAGAGGAUGACCAGCCACACUGGAACUGAGACACGGUCCAGACUCCUACGGGAGGCAGCAGUGGGGAAUAUUGCACAAUGGGCGCAAGCCUGAUGCAGCCAUGCCGCGUGUAUGAAGAAGGCCUUCGGGUUGUAAAGUACUUUCAGCGGGGAGGAAGGUGUUGUGGUUAAUAACCGCAGCAAUUGACGUUACCCGCAGAAGAAGCACCGGCUAACUCCGUGCCAGCAGCCGCGGUAAUACGGAGGGUGCAAGCGUUAAUCGGAAUUACUGGGCGUAAAGCGCACGCAGGCGGUCUGUCAAGUCGGAUGUGAAAUCCCCGGGCUCAACCUGGGAACUGCAUUCGAAACUGGCAGGCUUGAGUCUUGUAGAGGGGGGUAGAAUUCCAGGUGUAGCGGUGAAAUGCGUAGAGAUCUGGAGGAAUACCGGUGGCGAAGGCGGCCCCCUGGACAAAGACUGACGCUCAGGUGCGAAAGCGUGGGGAGCAAACAGGAUUAGAUACCCUGGUAGUCCACGCCGUAAACGAUGUCUACUUGGAGGUUGUGCCCUUGAGGCGUGGCUUCCGGAGCUAACGCGUUAAGUAGACCGCCUGGGGAGUACGGCCGCAAGGUUAAAACUCAAAUGAAUUGACGGGGGCCCGCACAAGCGGUGGAGCAUGUGGUUUAAUUCGAUGCAACGCGAAGAACCUUACCUGGUCUUGACAUCCACAGAAGAAUCCAGAGAUGGAUUUGUGCCUUCGGGAACUGUGAGACAGGUGCUGCAUGGCUGUCGUCAGCUCGUGUUGUGAAAUGUUGGGUUAAGUCCCGCAACGAGCGCAACCCUUAUCCUUUGUUGCCAGCGGUUAGGCCGGGAACUCAAAGGAGACUGCCAGUGAUAAACUGGAGGAAGGUGGGGAUGACGUCAAGUCAUCAUGGCCCUUACGACCAGGGCUACACACGUGCUACAAUGGCGCAUACAAAGAGAAGCGACCUCGCGAGAGCAAGCGGACCUCAUAAAGUGCGUCGUAGUCCGGAUUGGAGUCUGCAACUCGACUCCAUGAAGUCGGAAUCGCUAGUAAUCGUGGAUCAGAAUGCCACGGUGAAUACGUUCCCGGGCCUUGUACACACCGCCCGUCACACCAUGGGAGUGGGUUGCAAAAGAAGUAGGUAGCUUAACCUUCGGGAGGGCGCUUACCACUUUGUGAUUCAUGACUGGGGUGAAGUCGUAACAAGGUAACCGUAGGGGAACCUGCGGUUGGAUCACCUCCUUACCUUAAAGAAGC
rnacentral:rRNA from 2 species